rnacentral:rRNA from 4 species
CGGUGGAUCACUCGGCUCGUGGAUCGAUGAAGAACGCAGCAAACUGCGCGUCAAAGUGUGAACUGCAGGACACAUGAACAUCGACGUUUCUAACGCACAUUGCGGCCCA